UCCUACGGGAGGCAGCAGUGGGGAAUUUUGGACAAUGGGCGCAAGCCUGAUCCAGCAAUGCCGCGUGCAGGAUGAAGGCCUUCGGGUUGUAAACUGCUUUUGUACAGAACGAAAAGUCUUGGGUUAAUACCCUGGGACCAUGACGGUACUGUAAGAAUAAGCACCGGCUAACUACGUGCCAGCAGCCGCGGUAAUACGUAGGGUGCAAGCGUUAAUCGGAAUUACUGGGCGUAAAGCGUGCGCAGGCGGUUAUGUAAGACAGAGGUGAAAUCCCCGGGCUCAACCUGGGAACGGCCUUUGUGACUGCAUAGCUAGAGUACGGUAGAGGGGGAUGGAAUUCCGCGUGUAGCAGUGAAAUGCGUAGAUAUGCGGAGGAACACCGAUGGCGAAGGCAAUCCCCUGGACCUGUACUGACGCUCAUGCACGAAAGCGUGGGGAGCAAACAGGAUUAGAUACCCUGGUAGUCCA
rnacentral:rRNA from 1 species